rnacentral:rRNA from 1 species
UACAGAGGGGGCAAGCGUUUAUUCGGAAUUAUUGGGCGUAAAGGGCGCGUAGGCGGCAUGGCAAGUGGAUGGUGAAAUCCCUCGGCUUAACCGAGGAACUGCCGUCCAAACUGCUUCGCUUGAGACCGGGAGAGGUGAGUGGAAUUCCCCAGUGUAGCGGUGAAAUGCGUAGAUAUUGGGAGGAACACCAGUGGCGAAGGCGGCUCACUGGACCGGUACUGACGCUGAUGCGCGAAAGCGUGGGGAGCAAACGGG